rnacentral:rRNA from 1 species
GACGAACGCUGGCGGCGUGCUUAACACAUGCAAGUCGAACGGAAAGGCCCUGCUUUUGUGGGGUGCUCGAGUGGCGAACGGGUGAGUAACACGUGAGUAACCUGCCCUUGACUUUGGGAUAACUUCAGGAAACUGGGGCUAAUACCGGAUAGGAGCUCCUGCUGCAUGGUGGGGGUUGGAAAGUUUCGGCGGUUGGGGAUGGACUCGCGGCUUAUCAGCUUGUUGGUGGGGUAGUGGCUUACCAAGGCUUUGACGGGUAGCCGGCCUGAGAGGGUGACCGGCCAAAUUGGGACUGAGAUACGGCCCAGACUCCUACGGGAGGCAGCAGGGGGGAAUAUUGCACAAUGGGCGGAAGCCUGAUGCAGCCACGCCGCGUGCGGGAUGACGGCCUUCGGGUUGUAAACCGCUUUCGCCUGUGACGAAGCGUGAGUGACGGUAAUGGGUAAAGAAGCACCGGCUAACUACGUG